UACGUAGGGGGCAAGCGUUGUCCGGAAUCAUUGGGCGUAAAGAGCGUGUAGGCGGCCAGAUACGUCCGCUGUGAAAUCUCGAGGCUCAACUUCGAGCUGUCGGUGGAAACUGUCUGGCUAGAGUCCGGAAGAGGAGAAUGGAAUUCCUGGUGUAGCGGUGAAAUGCGCAGAUAUCAGGAAGAACACCCGUGGCGAAGGCGGUUCUCUGGGGCGGUACUGACGCUGAGACGCGAAAGCGUGGGGAGCGAACAGG
rnacentral:rRNA from 1 species